GCGUUUUGGAACGUUCAGAUGGAAAAAGGAUAUUUAGAACAAAUAUGCCUCACUAACAUGUACAGUAACGAAUCACUUCGGAUCUAUUCAGUUCAUUUCUAGCUGCAACGUUCGGAAACCACACGUGCGUUUUCUCCAAAAAAAGAAUUAGUUGGGACAUGGACUUACAACUGGGUUCCCCAACUUCUAUUUAUCCGCUCAAGAAAAAAAUUGUCCAGCAGCUAUCUAGAUGAUCCCUGGACUACAAGGUAUCGAAAGGGUUCCACAGGGAUGCUGGCCCAUAUUGACUCCAAUGCUUCCCACAGUUGUGUCAAGUUGGCUGGAUGUCCUUUGGGUGGUGGACCAUUCUUAAUACACAAGGGAAACUGUUGUGAUUGAAAAACCCAGAAGCAUUGUAGUUCUUGACACUCUUACCGGUGCGUCUGGCUGCUACUACUAUACACCAUUCAAAGGCACUUAGAUAUUUUGUCUUGCCCAUUCAGCCUCUGAAUGGCACACAAGCACAAAUGGAUUUAACCAGUGACAUCAAUAAGGGAUCAUAGCUUUCACCUGGAUUCACCUGGUCAGUCUGUCACGGAAAGAGAAGGUGUUCUUAAUGUUUUGUGCACUCAGUGUCUACUAUUUUUCUUAAUAGUGUGCUUCUCUAAAUAUUUGUGAGUGAGUUGAGUGUUUGUUUUGUUUCUGGUUUUGAUAUUGUCCUUUGUACAGUACAUAAGAGUAAGUGUAUUAAUACAUUGUUACAGAUUAAAGCCUUUGACAAUGUUUAAAUAAAUAAAAUAUAUGAGUAGAUACUCAGACAAGCACUUUUCAAUAAAUGUUGUCAAGUAAUUGAAUCGUACAACUGA